UACAGAGGUCUCAAGCGUUGUUCGGAUUCAUUGGGCGUAAAGGGUGCGUAGGCGGCGCGGUAAGUCGGGUGUGAAAUCUCGGAGCUUAACUCCGAAACUGCAUUCGAUACUGCCGUGCUUGAGGACUGGAGAGGAGACUGGAAUUUACGGUGUAGCGGUGAACUGCGUAGAUAUCGUAAGGAAGACCAGUGGCGAAGGCGGGUCUCUGGACAGUUCCUGACGCUGAGGCACGAAGGUCAGGGGAGCAAACAGG
rnacentral:rRNA from 1 species